rnacentral:rRNA from 1 species
AUUGAACGCUGGCGGCAUGCCUUACACAUGCAAGUCGAACGGCAGCACGGGUGCUUGCACCUGGUGGCGAGUGGCGAACGGGUGAGUAAUAUAUCGGAACGUACCUUAUUGUGGGGGAUAACGCAGCGAAAGCUGUGCUAAUACCGCACAAUCCCUAAGGGGGAAAGCGGGGGACCGUAAGGCCUCGCGCAAUUAGAGCGGCCGAUACCUGAUUAGCUAGUUGGUGAGGUAAAGGCUCACCAAGGCAACGAUCAGUAGCUGGUCUGAGAGGACGAUCAGCCACACUGGGACUGAGACACGGCCCAGACUCCUACGGGAGGCAGCAGUGGGGAAUUUUGGACAAUGGGUGCAACCCUGAUCCAGCAAUGCCGCGUGAGUGAAGAAGGCCUUCGGGUUGUAAAGCUCUUUUGUCAGGGAAGAAACAGCAGCACGAACACAGUUUGCGAAUGACGGUACCUGAAGAAUAAGCACCGGCUAACUACGUGCCAGCAGCCGCAGUAA